GUCCUACGGGACGCAGCAGUAGGGAAUUUUCGUCAAUGGGCGCAAGCCUGAACGAGCAAUGCCGCGUGAACGAGGAAGGUCUUCGGAUCGUAAAGUUCUGUUGAAGGGGAAAAAGAGCGGAGAGAGGAAAUGAACUCCGAUUGAUAUUACCCUUCGAGGAAGUCACGGCUAACUACGUGCCAGCAGCCGCGGUAAUACGUAGGAUGCGAGCGUUAUCCGGAUUUAUUGGGUUUAAAGGGUGCGUAGGCGGUUCGUUAAGUCAGUGGUCAAAUUGAGGGGCUCAACCCCUUCCCGCCAUUGAAACU
rnacentral:rRNA from 1 species